rnacentral:rRNA from 1 species
AUACGAAGGGGGCAAGCGUUGUUCGGAAUAACUGGGCGUAAAGCGCACGUAGGCGGAAUGUUAAGUUAGAGGUGAAAUCCCAGGGCUCAACCCUGGAACGGCCUUUAAUACUGGCAAUCUAGAGACCGAGAGAGGUGAGUGGAAUUCCGUGUGUAGAGGUGAAAUUCGUAGAUAUUCGGAGGAACACCAGUGGCGAAGGCGGCUCACUGGCUCGGUACUGACGCUGAGGUGCGAAAGCGUGGGGAGCAAACAGGAUUAGAUACCCCAGUAGUCC